rnacentral:rRNA from 1 species
UGGGGAAUAUUGGGCAAUGGGCGAAAGCCUGACCCAGCAACGCCGCGUGAGGGAAGAAGGUCUUCGGAUUGUAAACCUCUGUCCUUGGGGACGAAAAAAAUGACGGUACCCAAGGAGGAAGCCCCGGCUAACUACGUGCCAGCAGCCGCGGUAAUACGUAGGGGGCGAGCGUUGUCCGGAAUUACUGGGCGUAAAGGGUGCGUAGGCGGUUGCCUAAGUCAGAUGUGAAAUCCCCGGGCUUAACUCGGGUGGUGCAUUUGAAACUGGGUUACUAGAGUGCAGGAGAGGGAAGCGGAAUUCCUAGUGUAGCGGUGAAAUGCGUAGAUAUUAGGAGGAACACCAGUGGCGAAGGCGGCUUUCUGGACUGUAACUGACGCUGAGGCACGAAAGCGUGGGGAGCAAACA